rnacentral:rRNA from 1 species
GUGGGGAAUAUUGGACAAUGGGCGAAAGCCUGAUCCAGCCAUGCCGCGUGUGUGAAGAAGGUCUUCGGAUUGUAAAGCACUUUAAGUUGGGAGGAAGGGCAGUAAGCUAAUACCUUGCUGUUUUGACGUUACCGACAGAAUAAGCACCGGCUAACUUCGUGCCAGCAGCCGCGGUAAUACGAAGGGUGCAAGCGUUAAUCGGAAUUACUGGGCGUAAAGCGCGCGUAGGUGGUUUUGUAAGUUGAAGGUGAAAUCCCCGGGCUCAACCUGGGAACUGCCUCCAAAACUGCAUGACUAGAGUACGGUAGAGGGUAGUGGAAUUUCCUGUGUAGCGGUGAAAUGCGUAGAUAUAGGAAGGAACACCAGUGGCGAAGGCGACUACCUGGACUGAUACUGACACUGAGGUGCGAAAGCGUGGGGAGCAAACAGGAUUAGAAACCCUGGUAGUCC